UACGUAGGGUGCGAGCGUUAAUCGGAAUUACUGGGCAUAAAGGGUGCGCAGGCGGUUAUAUAAGACAGAUGUGAAAUCCCCGGGCUCAACCUGGGAACUGCGUUUGUGACUGUAUGACUAGAGUACGGUAGAGAGGGGUGGAAUUCCUGGUGUAGCAGUGAAAUGCGUAGAUAUCAGGAGGAACAUCGAUGGCGAAGGCAGCCCCUUGGACCUGUACUGACGCUCAUGCACGAAAGCGUGGGGAGCAAACAGG
rnacentral:rRNA from 1 species